GUCUACAGCCGUACCAGUCUGACUGUCCAAUCUCAUCUGAUGUUGGAUGCUAAUCAGGGUUGGGCCUGGUUAGUACUUGAAAGGAAGAAAUUCUAAACCUGGAUAUAGGAAUGGAAGAUU
rnacentral:rRNA from 1 species